rnacentral:rRNA from 1 species
AGGACCGAAAAAGCAUGGCCUCUAUAAAAUAUAAGCCUUAGCUAAUAACUUAUGACUCAAACUUAAUAAAAUCAUAGCCUAACACUACCCUCUAGAUAAG